GAUCAUGGCUCAGGAUUAACGCUGGCGGCAUGCCUAAUACAUGCAAGUCGAAUGGAAGAGCUUGCUUUCCAUGGCGAACGGGUGAGUAACACGUAGGUAACCUACCUUAAGGACGAGGAUAACCUUUGGGAAACGAAGGAUAAUACUGGAUAGGACAUUAUAAAGCACAUGCUUAAAUGUUUAAAGGAGCAAUCCACCAUAAGAGGGGCCUGCGGCGCAUUAGCUAGUUGGUGAGGUAAGGGCCCACCAAGGCUAUGAUGCGUAGCUGGACUGAGAGGUUGAACAGCCACAAUGGGACUGAGAACGGCCCAUACUCCUACGGGAGGCAGCAGUAGGGAAUUUUCGGCAAUGGGCAAAAGCCUGACCGAGCAAUGCCGCGUGAACGAAGAAGUAUUUCGGUAUGUAAAGUUCUUUUAUCAGGGAAGAAAAGACAGAUUGACUGAACCUGAUGAAUAAGCUCCGGCUAACUACGUGCCAGCAGCUGC
rnacentral:rRNA from 1 species